UUAAUACAUAUAGAACAAAAGUUGUUUAGAAUAACGAGAGCUUUCAUUUAAAAUUAAGAAAAAAGGGCUGGCCCCUAUAAUUAGGGGUCAGCAGCUCAUACACGUAUUUUUCUGAUAGCAAAAAUCGUUAUCAUUUUAUGAAAAAAAAUUAAUUCAGUUAUUGUUAAUAUAUUAAAUAAUGUCAUUUGGUAUCAAAUUUAAAAAGUUCUGUGCCCUAUUUUUUUCAAAUUUCAUAAAACAAAUAUGUGUGAAUCGUAACGUUACAUGAACGAGUUAAUUUGUCUACAUAGACACACAAGCGAACAAAUGCCACUUUAAGGCCCAGGCAUAUACUGCAUUACGUUGUGUUGCGUCUUAGAUAAAUAGUUGUGAUUCAAUUUCAUUUUUUUCAUCUAUAUCAUUUAUGAAUUCAAUGAACACACAUUAUUUUAACGUUCUAUGUGCAACUAUUUGUCGGGGCGCCCCUGUUUGUAACCCCCGCGCGCGCGCCGAAUGUAAACAGUAACGAACGGCAUUGUAGAAAAGAGAGAGCCAUAAUGCAGAAGAGAAGUUGUGUAUUCUUUCGACGUACAAAUGCAUUUUCAAUUUACUGUGAAACAUAUGAACAUGCACAGGGAACAAUACUACAUAUUUGUUUAAGGAGGAUAUUUUUCUCGUGUGAAUCGUUUACGAGGAAAUUCUGACAGCCACACUUCUGUCGACGAUCAGCCGUUGAUAAGCUACGAGUAAUAAAGGGGAAAAGAUGGACAUUAAAGUGUGUGAUUUAUGUGGAUGUUACUGAAGAAGCUCAAAACAGACUCUUGUUACCACAUGGCUUUUACCGGUACCUGUUGAUUCUUGUGGGUCAGCUCCUGAGAUUAACCUGUCACCUCUAUCCACAUGCAUAUUCCUUGUGUUCUACAGACUAUUUACCGGUAAUUCAAAUUAAAUCCGAUAAUGCAUAAACAAUAAUGGAACUUGAAGAAAGCAUCAUGCCAUGUUGUGGUUUGUGUUUGAUAAGAAAUUAUGAAAACAAAAUUAAGGCUGUUUAUAAAGAAAUUCAUAAUUGCUGUGAAAAUUUGUUUUUCAAUAAAAGUAUGCAAUUAUG